rnacentral:lncRNA from 1 species
UUGUAAUUUGAUGCUAAUUCUGCUUUCCUAGGAGGGGUUGCAGACAAGGAAUGAGUCCCGUACUCAGGUGACUUCUUGUGAACCAAUCCCCUAAGGAAUAAAGAAGCCAAUCACUGGGUGAGUAGGCGGGACUUCUGGGUUGGAUGGAGGAAGAGAGGAAGCAGGAGAGAGUUAGGUCUUUUUUGGACGGGGAUAGCGUGAGGACAAGAUUUAAUUAUGAGUGGCUCCUGGUUUCAAUGGUGGAUCUGUCAGGAUUCGCCACAGGAGGAUUUAGAUUUAAUAAGACUUACAGAUUAGAAUUUUAGUUGAUGCACUCAGUGAUUGAGUUUAUGUUGUUUCUGAACUAAGCUUGUGUUGUGUUUUCCUUCACACAGCAGCUUGUCGGGGUUCAAGAGAGAAAGAUACGGUUGGCAAAGCAUGGAUUUGCCUGAGGUGCACCACAAAGAACUCUCAGCUACUUUUCCAUCAACAUGUUUGCCUGUGUGUGACCAUACUUCCUGCCAUGAUGAAAAUUGACUAAAUUUCUAAAACUGCAAGUUUCAAAACAUGGAAAAGAAGACAUAAAUGCACAAAGGCAUCUCACAAAACUGUCACAUAAUAUAAAAACACCAGAACUGAGCUGUUAAAACCAUGGCUCAGGAUUCAUCCAUGUAUCUCAGCAACACAUUCAGUGCCUUAAGGUGAUCCAACUCCUUUUCCGACCUCUGUGGGCUCCUGUAUGCAUAUUCUUAGGCACUGUGCUGUGCUGUGAGUUUUCUGUUAACUCAAAACAAGCUGGAGUCAUUUCGAAAGAGGAAACUGAAAUUAAGAACAUUCUGCAAUCAGAUUAACCCAUGAGCAAGCCACUAAGCAACACUCCUCCAUGAUCUUUGCAUCAGCUCCUGCCUCAAGGUUCCUGCCCAGUUUGAGUUCCUUCCCUGACUUUCCUCAGUGAUGGACUGAUGUGGAACUAAAAGCUGAAACAAACCAUUUCCUGCCCAAGUUGGGUAUUGUUUUAUCACAGACUAGAAACACACACACAAACCACACAUGCACAUGAAAUAAAAUAAAAUAAAAUAAAUAUUACCAUCCA